CUCCGUAGGGUGACCUGCGGAGGGAUCAUUACCGAGUUUACAACUCCCAAACCCCUGUGAACAUACCUAUCGUUGCCUCGGCGGUGCCCGCUCCGGCGGCCCGCCAGAGGACCCCCAAACUCUUGUUUUAUACAGUAUCUUCUGAGUAACACGAUUAAAUAAAUCAAAACUUUCAACAACGGAUCUCUUGGUUCUGGCAUCGAUGAAGAACGCAGCGAAAUGCGAUAAGUAAUGUGAAUUGCAGAAUUCAGUGAAUCAUCGAAUCUUUGAACGCACAUUGCGCCCGCCAGUAUUCUGGCGGGCAUGCCUGUUCGAGCGUCAUUUCAACCCUCAAGCCCCCGGGCUUGGUGGUUGGGGAUCGGCGUGCCCUCGCGGCGCGCCGUCCCCUAAAUCUAGUGGCGGUCUCGCUGUAGCUUCCUCUGCGUAGUAGCAACACUCGCACUGGAUCGCAGCGCGGCCACGCCGUUAAACCCCCCACUUCUGAAAGUUUGACCUCGGAUCAGGUAGGAAUACCCGCUGAACUUAAGCAUAUCA
rnacentral:rRNA from 1 species